rnacentral:lncRNA from 1 species
AACUGCACACACACUGGAUUAAACAAACAGGUGAAAGAAGACGGAGAAAAGGGACUCGGCAGGAUGUCGCAUCCUAGGCCUACGUAGUUUGUCAGAAACAAACAUCAGAGUCGAUGUAGUUUGGGGAAAUGGGAAACAUGCUCGCUAGGAUAUCACAUCCUAUGCAUACAUAUCUUGUCUAACCAGAGUAAGAAUCAGAGCACUCG